rnacentral:lncRNA from 1 species
AAUGGUUCAAAAUCCAAGACUAAAUAAAAAUUCAGGGACUCCUAUAGAAAACAAUACAAUAUACAGAAACAUUGUAGGGUCCUUACAAUAUCUAACUAUGACUAGACCUGAUAUUGUCUUUUGUGUGAAUCAUCUUAGUCAGUUUCUACAAACACCAACUGAUGUACAUCUUAGUUUUGCUAAGAGGAUGCUAAGAUAUAUCAAGGGAUCUUCUAACCUAGGACUGAGAUUUACACCUUCAGUCAAACCAGUAAAUUCUUUGAUAGCCUACUGUGAUUCAGACUGGGCAAAUGAUACUGAUGAUAGGAGAUCAGUUUCUGGAUUCAGCAUCUGGUUUGCUGGAAAUUUGGUAGCCUGGGCAUCAAAGAAACAAGCAGUGGUAUCAAAAUCGAGUUGUGAGGCUGAAUACAGGGCACUAUCUGGGAUAACUUCAGAAGUUAAGUGGUUCUGUAAUUUGUUUAGGGAACUGGAGAUUAGGUUUGAGACAGCUCCACAAAUAUUAUGUGAUAAUAAAUCAGCAAUUUUUCUCACUAAAAAUCCAUCAUCAAACCUGAAAACUAGACAUAUAGAUAUCUCACACCAUUUUAUUAGAGAGCUGGUGAUGAAAGGGGCAAUAAAAGUGGAUUAUAUUGCUGCUAGUCAACAACUAGCAGAUGGUUUCACUAAAGUACUGGGAACAGGGCAAUUUAUGGUUCAUAGGGAUAGACAUAAACUAGUACCAACCAGUCCUGAUCCUAGAAUCAUAAUGAAGGACAAGAAUAGGCUAACAAAAUCGCAAGACAUAAGUAAACCAAAGCUAAUUAAGGAGGCUUAGGAGAAUGACUAUAUAAGGGAGACUAUAAUACUGGAUAUUAGUUUAGAUAUAUAAUAAUAAUAAUAAUAAUGAAAAUACUGAGGUGUUGUAUUUCUGAUUUCUGUUCUUAUAGUAAUACUUGUAUUCAUAUUAGGAAAUGUUAGAUAAAUAUGAUGUUGAAAAUUGCAGGGUGAUAAUCUGAAAUAUAUUCUAAAACUAUUUCUAGUUUUGGUUUGAUACAUAAUUUUGUCUGUUUGUUAAGGAAUGGUCUAUAUUUUUCUGUUUUUGGUUUGUGGGAAUGGCUACUGUGGAUGUAUGUUUGUGUGGUUGCAGGUCAUGCUAAGAUAGGUCAUGCCCAAAUAACUGGAAAUUUAAUCUGGAGCAGAAAAUGUGGAAUCUAGAGCAGCAGGAGCUUUGAGAAUGAGCAGCGAUUUUUUUUGUUUUGUUCUUUCUUUCAGGGUCUUAAUUGGUAUAACAGGAGGGUUUUCCCAGUAAAAAUGAAAGAAAGAGGAGCAAAAAUAAGAAUCCCAGCUGGGUUUUUCGCCCUACCUGUUAGCUCAAUUAAUUCAUAGCUGAGUUAGUUCACAAGACUACUAAGGAGGUGGACAGACAAGCUGAUGAUCAUACUCAUGUUCAAAUUCACAACUCAGGAUUGCAUUCUGGAGUUGUCAAUUUGCGGGGGAAUGUAAAGAGUUAAAAAUACUAUAAGGGGUUUUGUAUAAAUGUACCCAUAAUAUUAAGUAUAAGUAUAGGCUUUGUGUAAUGAUUAGUUAAGUUGAAUGUUAUAAUUCUUGAGUGUCAAUUAAAGAGUUUACUCUUUCUUCUUCUUGUUUUGACCUAACGACUUCAUUCUCCCCCUUUCUUCUAUCUUCUUCUUCUAUCAAUUUCUUGUUGAUGAUUCAGUGAAUGGAAACCUCUCCAGAUUUCUACAUGGUAUCUAGAGCUUUGUGAUUCGAUUGGGGCAUCUGGGCGUUAGGGCACGGCGAGCGCGGAAUCUUCUCAGCGUGAUUUCUUCUCGGCGUGAAUUGGAGCGGUUCCUGUUCUGUUCUUUUCUUUUCUUCCCGGCUACAGCGCGUGGUCUUUCUCUUCUCUUCUCGGCUGGCGUGGUCUUUCUUCUCGGCUGGCGUGGUCUUUCUUCUCGGCUGGCGUGGUCUUUCUCUUCUCUUCUCGGCGGCGUGAAUUUCUGGGUCUUUUCUUCUCGGCUGGCGUGGUCUUUCUUCGGCUACAGCGUGGUUCUUCUCGCCGAUUGAUUGCAAUCUGCGAUUGCAACUCUGGUUUGAAUUUUUUAUUUUUUAUUUAUUUCAUUUUUCUGUUAUCUGCAAUUGCAAGUUAUUGAACCAUUGAUUUCCAAAUUUUUUAAUUAGAUUCUGUUUGUGUUUGGAUUGAUCUGUAAGUCUGAAUUUGUUUGUGUUUGAUUUGCGUUAGAUUACGUGUUACAUUUGAUUUCAAUUUUUCAGAUUUUGUGUUCAUUGAUUUCAAUUUUUUUUUUAGAACCCAAAACGGUUGCUUGUGUCAUUGAUCCCUGGCAUUUUAUCGAUUUCUUCUAUUUCUCAUCUCGUUUUCGCCUCGUUGUUUCGUUGCUUGUUCCCCUAUAGUUUUAUUUGAUUUCGUUGGAAACUCCCUAUCAGUCUGCUAGUUUCUUUAAUCCUACUCGGUCGUUCUUUUCCAAUAGUUCAUUUGAGUGCGAUUAAAAUCUGUUUUGGGUUUACAGAUUACCUGUUAGUUUUGUUUGAGUUUACAAUAUUUUUUUUUUUUUAAUUUUCUCAUUUGAUUUAAUCUGUUUACAGAUUUGUUUUGCAUUUGAUUUCUGCGUUUUUAUCUGUUAGUAUUUUACUGAUAUUUUUUUUGCUGACAUCGAUUUGGUAUUUUCUUCUUCUUUAUUUGCCUGUUAGUAUUUGGUAUUUGGUAUUUUACUGUUAGUAUUCUUCUUCUUCUUAAAUUUUAGUUUUUUUUUUUUUUAUUUUUUUUUUUCUUUCUUUAAAUUUUGUCAUAGAUCUGUCGAUCUGUCAUCGAUCUGACAUUUUCUGUUUUUGGUUUAUGUUUUUUGUUGUUGUUGUUUGGUAAUUGAUUUCAUUGAUUUCAUCAAAUUUGUUGUUGUUUUUAGUUGUUUGUUUUUGCUGGUUAUUAAAUUUAAUUCUGAAUAAUUGCAUGCACAUAACUACAUUUUGUUUGCUUGUGUUGCAUACUAAUUAUAAAUUGUUUUUUUUUUGUUUUGUUGUUUUUGUUGUUUGGUAAUUGAUUUCAUUGAUUUCAUCAAAUUUGUUGUUGUUUUUAGUUGUUUGUUUUUGCUGGUUAUUAAAUUUAAUACUGAAUAAUUGCAUGCUAAAUCACAUAUGAAUUUAUCAGAUUGCAUGCUAAUAAAAAUAAUAAUAAUAAAUAAAUAAAAACAAAUAUCUGAUUGUGUAGUUUCUACCCACUUGAAAGUAGAUCAUAACUACAUUUUCUACUCAAUCGAUCGAUUGUGUAGUUUAUAGUUUGCUUGUAGUUGUAAAUUACAAUUGCCCAAGUGGUUAAUUGUUAUUUUGUUUGUGACGCAAGGAGCUGGUUUUUUUUUCUGGAUCUGCGAAUCAGCUUCUGUAAUCAUUGUUUUCUGUUGAGUGGCGAUUUCCAUCUUGAGCUAUGGCAGGAAUUGGAUCAAGUACAUCUGGUGCUGGAAGUGCAGCUGUGACAGCAAGGAUCGAAGUUCCUCAAAUGAUGUAUAGUAUUGCGUCACUCUGUCCCACACCUCUUUCAGAAGGGAAUUAUCUAGUAUGGAAAAAUCAAUUUGAAGGUGCAUUACAAAUACAUAAUUUGUUAGAUUUUAUUUCUGGAAAACUUGGGACUCCGGCUCUAAGAUUAAGUGAUGGCUCUGAAAAUCCGGCAUAUGCGUCUCACAAGAGGAACGAUGGCAUAGUGCUCAGUUGGAUUAAAGCCACGGUAUGUAAGGAAAUUCAGCCUCUACUUUUACCUUGUGUUACUGCAUAUGAGGCAUGGCAUAUUUUAGAAACAGAUAUUUCGCCUAUUGAUAAAAAUCAAAUUCAAACUCUUCGUGAUGAGUUGAAUUCACUAAGGAAGACAACAGAUAUUUCAAUGAAAGAAUAUAUUUUCAAGAUUAAGAGUUUGAAACACUCUCUAGCAGCAGCAGGAUAUUCAAUGUCUGAUGAAAGAGUGUCAGAGUAUGUUCUCAGAGGUCUUGGACCUGAAUUCCGUAUGUUUAGGACAUCUCUGAAUUUUCAGAAGGAUAUUACUUUUACAGAACUUGCAGAUGCUCUUAUUAAAGAAGAAAUUUUGAUGAAACAACUGGAUCAACCAACAACUGAAGGGGAUUAUCAGGUGCAUUAUUCCAAUUAUAAUAGGAAUAAUUUCAAUAGAAAUGCUAAAUUUUAUCCAGGGAAAGGCAAGAAUGGUGGUUCUUAUUAUAAACCAUCAUACAAAAAUCAAGGAACAAAGGUCAUAACUGUUCCUCCUCAAAUUGCUCGGAAUAAUUUGCCUCCCAUUCUGAAUCUACCAUCUUCACAGGACAACACAUCUACGUGUCAGAUUUGUGAGAAAAAAGGACAUCUGGCUAGAAAUUGCCCAGAUAGAGGUAAUUUUGCUGCCUAUGCCAUGGAGGAUGAUUAUGAUACUCAGAUAACUGGAAAUGAAGAAGAAGCAGCAGCAUAUUCUGUAACAGUCCAAGAUCUGGAUUGGUGUCUUGACUCAGGAGCUACUAAUCACAUGGUAGCUGAUGAAGCCUUGCUCCAUGACUGCCAGACCUAUACAGGUAUUGGGUGUGUUGUGAUUGGAUCUGGAGAUAGAUUAGUAAUUUCUAAAAUAGGAAAGUUAGACUUUGAAGUGCAUUCAAAGGUUUAUACACUUAAUAGAGUUUUAUGUGUGCCUAAGAUUAAGAAAAAUCUAAUUUCUGUGACUAAACUAUGUAGUGAUUUGAACUGUUAUAUACAGAUUUCACAGAAGGAAUUUUCAGUGAAGAGCCUGAAGAUGCAUCAGACGCUUUUUUCUGGAAUUAAUAAAAGAGGGCUAUACUAUUUCAGCCCGGACAUCAACUGUAAUUUGGGUAUCAAGAUCUCUUCAGAUACAUGGCACAAGAGACUAGGACAUCCUUCUCUCAAAAUCAUGAAUAAAAUAGGACAUGUAUUAGGAUUAAACAAUUCAGAUUUAAAAUCUUUAGAAUUUUGUAAUAACUGUCCUAUGGCAAAAAUGUCGAAAUUACCUUUUUCUUGUAAUGAAAUAAAAACUUCUUUUCCAUUGGAAAUAAUACAUAUAGAUCUAUGGGGUCCAGCCCCAAUUGUUUCAAUGAAAAAUUAUAAAUUUUUUGCAACAAUUGUAGAUAAUAAAACAAGGUAUACAUGGAUUAUACUAUUAAGGGCUAAAAGUGAUUUUACUGAUCAGUUUAUUCUAUUUCAGAAAAAUAUAGAAAACCAGUUAGGGCGAAAAAUUAAGAAAAUUUAUUCAGAUGAGGGUGGUGAAUUUCUUAGUACCAAGCUGAAAACUUGGCUAGGACAAAAAGGAAUAACACAUAGAUUCUCAUGUCCCUAUACACCUCAACAAAAUGGGAUCGUUGAGAGGAAACAUAGACACCUGCUUGAGACCAGCAGAUGUUUUUUUACUCAAUCAGGAAUUCCAAAAAAAUAUGUGGCCAGAGGUCAUCUCUGCAGCAUGUUUUCUGAUAAAUAGGUUACCUAGUUCUGUUUUAGGGUUCAUAUCUCCCUUUGAGAUGUUAACCAAAAAUAAACCAGAUUAUAAAAUACUGAAAUUAUUUGGUUGUUCAUGUUAUCCCUUAAUAAGUAAAGGAUUAAGGAAUAAAUUUGAACCUACUGCCUAUAAAUGUGUCUUUAUAGGGUAUUCAAACAAACACAAAGGAUAUAUGUGUUUAAAGUUAGAAGAUAAUAAAGUCAUUAUAUCUCGAAAUGUCAAAUUUAAUGAAAAUGAGUAUCCUUUUUUAACUAAAACAGAUACUAAAACAGUAAAGAAGCCUGAAAAGCAAAUGAUAAUACUUCCAAGACUAGCUACUACAAUAAAUUUUGGCUUUCCUAUAAAUACAGGAAACUCAAACAGUGAGUUAAGGGUAGAACCAGAGUCAAGUCCUGUAAGGAGAGUUACUCACUCACAACAGAACAACUCUAAAAAUGACUCAAUGGAUAUAAUCUCAGAGUCAACUGAGAUAAGUAGCUUAGUACCCCAGACCAUGCGAGUUGAGUCAGAUAUGCAAUCUAACACUAGAAGUGAGACAAGACAACAAAGAGAUAUUUCUGAGAAUCAAACAAACACAGUUUGUAACUCAAUAUCACGAGAUAUAAGUAGUAGAUCUGAAGAACCAAUCAACAUAGGAGUUAGAUAUCCGACUAGAGAUAGAAAAGCACCAAAGUUUUUAGAAAAUUAUGAGUGUAAUUCAUGCUCUGGCGAAGAGAUAGAACCAUCCACCUUCAGUGAGGCAAGUAAAGAACCUAAGUGGAAGGAGGCAAUGCAAGAGGAACUGGAUGCAUUGAAAAUUAACAAAACAUGGACUUUAGUACCAAAAAAUUCGUCAAUGAAUAUAGUAGGUUGUAAGUGGGUCUAUAAAAUUAAAAAGAACUCAGAUGGUUCAAUAGAAAGGUACAAAGCUAGAUUAGUAGCUAAGGGCUACAAUCAGGAGGAAGGAGUGGACUAUACAGAGACUUACAGUCCAGUAAUUAGGAUGAACACAGUAAGAUCAAUCAUUUCAAUUGCUGUGACAUAUAACUGACAGCUAAGACAACUGGAUAUCAAAAAUGCCUUCCUAAAUGGCUUUCUAAACGAAACAGUAUACAUGAGACAACCAACUGGGUUUCAUAAUAAGAGUUAUCCAGAUCAUGUGUGUCUAUUACAUAAGGCUCUAUAUGGCUUAAAACAAGCACCCAGAGCUUGGUACUCAAGACUUCAAAAUUUUCUAGUUGAAAACGAAUUCAAAAAUAGUCUUACAGAUUCCUCAUUGUUCCUCAAAGUGAACAAUGGACAUAGAAUCUACAUACUAGUCUAUGUAGAUGAUAUUAUAAUUACUGGGGAUUCUAGUGAGGAAGUAAAUAGGUGCAUAGAAUUAAUAUGUAAACAAUUUUCAUGUAGAGACAUAGGGCUUCUUAACUAUUUUUUAGGAAUGGAAUGUAUAAGACAAGGGAAAACCAUAAUUCUAAGUCAAGAAAAAUAUGUGUAUGAUAUAUUGAAAAAAUUCAAUAUGAUGGAAUGCACACCAUGUAGGACACCAAUGGUUCAAAAUCCAAGACUAAAUAAAAAUUCAGGGACUCCUAUAGAAAACAAUACAAUAUACAGAAACAUUGUAGGGUCCUUACAAUAUCUAACUAUGACUAGACCUGAUAUUGUCUUCUGUGUGAAUCAUCUUAGUCAGUUUCUACAAACACCAACUGAUGUACAUCUUAGUUUUGCUAAGAGGAUGCUAAGAUAUAUUAAGGGAUCUUCUAACCUAGGACUGAGAUUUACACCUUCAGUCAAACCAGUAAAUUCUUUGAUAGCCUACUGUGAUUCAGACUGGGCAAGUGAUACUGAUGAUAGGAGAUCAGUGUCUGGAUUCAGCAUCUGGUUUGCUGGAAAUUUGGUAGCCUGGGCAUCAAAGAAACAGGCAGUGGUAUCAAAAUCGAGUUGUGAGGCUGAAUACAGGGCACUAUCUGGGAUAACUUCAGAAGUUAAGUGGUUCUGUAAUUUGUUUAGGGAACUGGAGAUUAGGUUUGAGACAGCUCCACAAAUAUUAUGUGAUAAUAAAUCAGCAAUUUUUCUCACUAAAAAUCCAUCAUCAAACCUGAAAACUAGACAUAUAGAUAUCUCACACCAUUUUAUUAGAGAGCUGGUGAUGAAAGGGGCAAUAAAAGUGGAUUAUAUUGCUGCUAGUCAACAACUAGCAGAUGGUUUCACUAAAGUACUGGGAACAGGGCAAUUUAUGGUUCAUAGGGAUAGACAUAAACUAGUACCAACCAGUCCUGAUCCUAGAAUCAUAAUGAAGGACAAGAAUAGGCUAACAAAAUCGCAAGACAUAAGUAAACCAAAGCUAAUUAAGGAGGCUUAGGAGAAUGAUUAUAUAAGGGAGACUAUAAUACUGGGUAUUAGUUUAUAUAUAUAAUAAUAAUAAUAAUAAUAAUAAUGAAAAUACUGAGGUGUUGUAUUUCUGAUUUCUGUUCUUAUAGUAAUACUUGUAUUCAUAUUAGGAAAUGUUAGAUAAAUAUGAUGUUGAAAAUUGCAGGGUGAUAAUCUGAAAUAUAUUCUAAAAUUAUUUCUAGUUUGGUUUGAUACAUAAUUUUGUUUGUUUGUUAAGGAAUGGUCUAUAUUUUUCUGGUUUGGUUUGUGGGAAUGGCUACUGUGGAUGUAUGUUUGUGUGGUUGCAGGUCAUACUAAGAUAGGUCAUGCCCAAAUAGCUGGAAAUUUAAUCUGGAGCAGAAAAUGUGAAAUCUAGAGCAGCAGGAGCUUUGAGAAUGAGCAGCGAGUUUUUUUGUUUGUUCUUUCUUUCAGGGUCUUAAUUGGCAUAACAGGAGGGUUUUCCCAGUAAAAAUGAAAGAAAGAGGAGCAAAAAUAAGAAUCCCAGCUGGGUUUUUCGCCCCCCCUGUUAGUUCAAUUAAUUCAUAGCUGAGUUAGUUCACAAGGCUGCUAAGGAGGUGGACAGACAAGCUGAUGAUCAUACUCAUGUUCAAAUUCACAACUCAGGAUUGCAUUCUGGAGUUGUCAAUUUGCGGGGGAAUGUAAAGAGUUAAAAUACUAUAAAGGGUAUUUUAUAAAUGUACCCAUAAUAUCAAGUAUAAGUAUAGGCUUAAUGUGUAAUGAUUGAAUAAGUUGAAUGUUAUAAUUUUGAGUGUCAAUUAAAGAGUUUUUGCUCUACUCUUUUUCUUCUUGUUUGACCUAACAACUUCCAUUCACCCCCUUUCUUCUAUCUUCUUCUUCUAUCAUUUUCUUGUUAAUGAAUCAUUGAGGAAACCUCUCCAGAUUUCUACAU